UUCGCCCUUAGAGUUUGAUCCUGGCUCAGAACGAACGCUGGCGGCAUGCCUAACACAUGCAAGUCGAACGAAGGCUUCGGCCUUAGUGGCGCAAGGGUGCGUAACGCGUGGGAAUCUGCCCUUAGGUUCGGAAUAACAGCUGGAAACGGCUGCUAAUACCGGAUGAUAUCGCGAGAUCAAAGAUUUAUCGCCUGAGGAUGAGCCCGCGUUGGAUUAGGUAGUUGGUGGGGUAAAGGCCUACCAAGCCGACGAUCCAUAGCUGGUCUGAGAGGAUGAUCAGCCACACUGGGACUGAGACACGGCCCAGACUCCUACGGGAGGCAGCAGAAGGG
rnacentral:rRNA from 1 species